GUCGUUUCUCGGCCCAUUGGCUGAGAUAAAGUGUAGUAUCUGUCCUUAUCAGUUUAAUCUCUGAUAUGUGACUCAUAGGAACCCUACGAGAUUAUUAAAGCUGCUCCAGAUGGUAAAAACUUUAU
rnacentral:snRNA from 1 species